UACGUAGGGGGCUAGCGUUGUCCGGAUUUAUUGGGCGUAAAGGGCGCGUAGGCGGCGUGGUAAGUCACUUGUGAAAUCUCUGAGCUUAACUCAGAACGGCCAAGUGAUACUGCUGUGCUAGAGUGCAGAAGGGGCAAUCGGAAUUCUUGGUGUAGCGGUGAAAUGCGUAGAUAUCAAGAGGAACACCUGAGGUGAAGACGGGUUGCUGGGCUGACACUGACGCUGAUGCGCGAAAGCCAGGGGAGCAAACGGG
rnacentral:rRNA from 1 species